rnacentral:lncRNA from 1 species
UGACCUUCGCCAAAUGGACACGAAACCAAAAAAAUAAAAAUAUAGCAAAUUGCCAUUCACCAAUUAUAAAAGAGAUGAUGAUAUUCUAGGAUGAGGACAUUGGUCCUACUUAAUCAUUUAUAUACAGUUGAUGCAAGCUCAUUAAACUCAAGCCAUAAAUCAAAUAUUUUUUCUGUAUAGUAGCUGCAUUUUCAAGAGCAUUUCACUUUAUUUCUACAACAAUGGCAGCUACUACAAUGGUUCUUUCUUCCUCUUCUUUUGUGGGAAAGGCGGUGAAACUCUCACCAUCUUCCUCUGAGAUCACCGGAAAUGGAAAAGUUACCAUGAGGAAGACUGUUACCAAGGCGAAGCCAGUCUCUUCUGGCAGCCCAUGGUAUGGUCCUGAUCGUGUCAAGUACUUGGGCCCAUUCUCCGGUGAGUCCCCAAGUUACUUGACUGGUGAGUUCCCUGGUGAUUAUGGGUGGGACACUGCUGGACUUUCAGCUGAUCCCGAAACUUUUGCAAAGAAUCGUGAGCUAGAGGUGAUCCACUGCAGAUGGGCCAUGCUUGGAGCUCUUGGUUGUGUCUUCCCUGAGCUCUUGGCCCGUAAUGGUGUCAAAUUCGGUGAGGCUGUAUGGUUCAAGGCUGGAUCUCAAAUUUUCAGCGAGGGUGGACUUGAUUACUUGGGCAACCCAAGUUUGGUCCAUGCACAAAGUAUCUUGGCCAUCUGGGCUUGCCAAGUCGUGUUGAUGGGAGCCGUUGAGGGUUAUCGUGUUGCUGGUGGACCUCUUGGUGAGGUUGUUGACCCACUCUACCCUGGUGGUAGCUUUGACCCAUUAGGCCUUGCUGAUGACCCCGAGGCUUUUGCCGAGCUCAAGGUGAAGGAGAUUAAGAACGGUAGACUUGCUAUGUUCUCCAUGUUUGGAUUCUUCGUUCAGGCUAUCGUCACCGGAAAAGGUCCAUUGGAGAACCUUGCCGAUCACCUUACUGACCCAGUUAACAACAACGCCUGGGCCUAUGCCACAAACUUUGUUCCCGGAAAGUGAAGUUCUUAAAAAAUAUGUCUCCUCUGGUAUCACUUUUGUAUGGAGCUUGUAAAGCUAUGGUAGUUUAGUGAAGAUUAUAUGUGAAUUUUGUUUAAUUGUGUAGUUCUCAGUAACAUUUUAUGUGCUUUCCAUGAAUUAAGUAUACAAGUUAAGAGGUUACUAUAACAAAUGCUACAUAAUAGUAACAACAGAGCAUUUUAACGUUCAAACCAGAAUUUGCAGAGCAAAGAAAAUUGAUAGUGAAAUUGAAGGGGAAACUAAAAACUAAAAGGAAUUUUUUUUCUUGAUUAGUAUUUCUUAAACAUUAUGUAACAUAUUGGAUUAUCCCCUAAAAAACAACAUUUUGGAUACAUUACAAAAAGUCAUUGCCUAAGUGACCAAUAUUGUCAAAGGCUCGCGUAAAACGUGCUUAAACCCGUAAACCCUGAAUUUAAGUGCAAAAUAAGUUGAGCGCUUUGCCUCGCUUAUCAAGAACGUCAAUUCAAUCACCAUCCAUCCGCACUAAAGAAUAAACAAUUUAAUAUUUUAAAAUCUUCAUUGGUAAUUUGAAUUAUUAUUCUUAAAUUAUAGAAAUUUUUUUGUAAAAAAAAAAACUUGCACCCUUUAUCAUCAAAGCUCAGGCGUUACUUAUACCAAUAGGGGUGGGCAUCAAUCGGGUCAGUUCGGUUAUAAAUGUUAUCGGUUUCGCAUAUCGAUUAUCGGUUUGUAAAUAUGAUAAUAAACUGAUAAGAAAACGGCUACCGAUUAUCGGUUAAUUAGUUAUCAAUCGUUAUCGAUUUACCCGAUAAAAUAACUCAAUCUCGAUUCUAGAGAGAAGAAACAAUGGAAGAUAAUGUGCACUGUAUAAAGAUAUGAUAAACUUUUUCGACUUUUGUAACCCUCCCAAAGAAUAUUAUAAACCUUACAACAUCAUUUUUCCAUGUAUUGAAUGACAAAUUUAGGAGGGUUAGAACAAUAUAUGGAGAAUUGGGAGAGUUAGAAAUUUAUAUACGCAAGGGUAAAAACAUAUUUUUGUUAAGUUUAUUGGGUUACCGGUUAGACCGUUAAAAAAAAUUGGGCAAGCCAAGACCCGAACCAAUAACCAAUAGUAAAAUAACACUAAACCGUCACCGAA